rnacentral:tRNA from 1 species
AGAUUAAUAAAAUUUAGGCUUCUAACUUAUAAUUUAAUGUAAAAUAAAAUUACAUUUAAUCUU